rnacentral:rRNA from 1 species
AGUGAACGCUGGCGGUAGGCCUAACACAUGCAAGUCGAACGGCAGCACAGUAAGAGCUUGCUCUUACGGGUGGCGAGUGGCGGACGGGUGAGGAAUACAUCGGAAUCUACUUUUUCGUGGGGGAUAACGUAGGGAAACUUACGCUAAUACCGCAUACGACCUACGGGUGAAAGCAGGGGAUCUUCGGACCUUGCGCGAAUGAAUGAGCCGAUGUCGGAUUAGCUAGUUGGCGGGGUAAAGGCCCACCAAGGCGACGAUCCGUAGCUGGUCUGAGAGGAUGGUCGGCCACACUGGAACUGAGACACGGUCCAGACUCCUACGGGAGGCAGCAGUGGGGAAUAUUGGACAAUGGGCGCAAGCCUGGUCCAGCCAUACCGCGUGGGUGGAGAAGGCCUUCGGGUUGUAAAGCCCUUUUGUUGGGAAAGAAAAGCAGCAGGUUAAUACCCCGCUGUUCUGACGGUACCCAAAGAAUAAGCACCGGCUAACUUCGUG